UACGUAGGGGGGCUAGCGUUGUCCGGAAUCAUUGGGCGUAAAGAGCGUGUAGGCGGCCCGGUAAGUCCGCUGUGAAAGUCGGGGGCUCAACCCUCGAAUGCCGGUGGAUACUGUCGGGCUAGAGUGCGGAAGAGGCGAGUGGAAUUCCUGGUGUAGCGGUGAAAUGCGCAGAUAUCAGGAGGAACACCGGUGGCGAAGGCGGGGUCUCUGGGGCCGAAAACUGACGCUGAGGAGCGAAAAGCGUGGGGGAGCAAAACAGG
rnacentral:rRNA from 1 species